UGAACGCUAGCUACAGGCUUAACACAUGCAAGUCGAGGGGCAGCAUGGUCUUAGCUUGCUAAGGCCGAUGGCGACCGGCGCACGGGUGAGUAACACGUAUCCAACCUGCCGUCUACUCUUGGACAGCCUUCUGAAAGGAAGAUUAAUACAAGAUGGCAUCAUGAGUCCGCAUGUUCACAUGAUUAAAGGUAUUCCGGUAGACGAUGGGGAUGCGUUCCAUUAGAUAGUAGGCGGGGUAACGGCCCACCUAGUCUUCGAUGGAUAGGGGUUCUGAGAGGAAGGUCCCCCACAUUGGAACUGAGACACGGUCCAAACUCCUACGGGAGGCAGCAGUGAGGAAUAUUGGUCAAUGGGCGAGAGCCUGAACCAGCCAAGUAGCGUGAAGGAUGAAGGUCCUACGGAUUGUAAACUUCUUUUAUACGGGAAUAAAGUUUCCUACGUGUAGGAUUUUGUAUGUACCGUAUGAAUAAGCAUCGGCUAACUCCGUG
rnacentral:rRNA from 1 species